rnacentral:rRNA from 1 species
CGGGUGAGUAACACGUGGAUAACCUACCUAUAAGACUGGGAUAACUUCGGGAAACCGGAGCUAAUACCGAAUAAUAUUUUGAACCGCAUGGUUCAAAAGUGAAAGACGGUCUUGCUGUCACUUAUAGAUGGAUCCGCGCUGCAUUAGCUAGUUGGUAAGGUAACGGCUUACCAAGGCAACGAUGCAUAGCCGACCUGAGAGGGUGAUCGGCCACACUGGAACUGAGACACGGUCCAG